GGCACGUGAUCGCCGUCUCCUGUGCCGUGCCGGAAAGCUUAGAAAAAAAUGUCUGCCAAACCGAGGAAGCCGAUGUUUGGAGGCGGGAGUUCACCAGAAUACGGUUUCUUAUUUCCAUAGAUAAAGCUACCCAUGUGAUGUGACGUUAUAUUGUGAUUCCUGCUCAUAGAAUUUAGAAUAGAACCUCUGAUUUGUUAGAAAUAGGGAAACCCAAGAUGGAGUCACAGUGGCCAGUGUGGCACCCAUCUUGAUUGUUUCUAAAGAUCUGAUGUAAGAUUUGGAAUAUGUAAAUUAAGAUAACUGGAGUGUGAAGUCAAAUAAGUAAAUUGAUUUUUUUUUUUUUGGGUUGGGGGAGUUGGCUGUGUCAAAGGGCUUGUGGGAUCUUAGUUACCCAACCAGGGAUCAAAUUCGGGCCCUCGUCAGUGAAAGCCUGGAGUUCUAACGGCUGGACCACCAGGGUCCAGUAAUUGUUUUUAAAGGUGUGUGGAAAGACUUAAAGAAAGAUGCAUAGCAUGAGUUGUGCGUUUAAGUUUUAUUUGGGAUCUUUCUGAGGACUAAAGCCCGGGAGACAGCCACUCAGUAAACUGUGGCAACUACUCGGUAGAGGUAGGGGAGAAGCCAGUUUAUACAUGGUUUUUGGCCAGGGAAUACCUGAAGUCAAGCAUAUAUCUUGGUAAGAUUACUACUAAUCAUAAAGAACAGAUGUCUCCAGUUAAUCUUUUCAGCUUCUCUAUGUAUGGGAACAUGCAAGAAUCUAGGGUCAUUAAAAUUCUUCCUGAGAUAUACAUCUAACUAUCUGUGGGACCUGCGUAUUUGUGUGCGUCCAAAGCACAGAUGCCUCAUUCUGUUUUCGCCUUAAAUUCCCCUAAAAAUCCUACUGUCAGUCAGCAACUGCGGUGGGUUACAACUGAACUCUUGUGGAAAUGGGUGGUGAACAAUGCUCUUUGUCUUAGUGAUCCUAAUUUUUCGGGGUCCACACCUCUAUGUUGACUUUAAAAAAUGCACAACCUAAAGUUGACAGUUAUAUUUUAUUUGGGGAACCUUACUAAGGACUAUAGCCCGGGAAUUAGCUUCUCAGAUCGCUCUGAAGAACUGUUCCAAAGAGGUAAGUGAGGAGCCAGGAUAUGUAGGAGUUUUUGCUGGGGAAAGAAAAAAAAUGUAGUCAAACUUCAAAAGAUUACUGCUAAUUACAAAAAACAGACAUCUCAAGUAAAAGGUUUUAAUGCUUUUCUAUGUAUGGGAAGGUGCAAGUGUCUGGGCUCAUUGAAAUUAUUCCUUUGAUAUGCAUCUUAACUAUCUAGGGCCAGUAUCCUCUUUUUCUCCACCUUGAAUUCCCCUCAGGAUGCACUCUCAGGGCAGCUGCAGUGACUGUUGGCUUGAUGGCAGACAGCAUUUUUUGUUUACUGAAAUGGCAGGCAACAUUUUUUUGUCCACAGGUAAGGCUCCUUGCUGCUGGGGUUGUAACUGUUGCACCCUAGGGAUUGUACCUCACAAAAGACAGGGUCUGAGUGCGGUUGCUGGAGAAGGGUCUCGACAGACUGCAUGCGCUAUGCUCACUGGAGACUGUCCGUGUCAGAAGCUGCCGGAGUAGAAGCCCAUCUCUUCUCUUCUCUUCUCCUCUCCAUCCUGCACCCUGAUGGGCUCUGCAUGUGCGUGGCCACCCAGCCCCCAAGUGCCAGGGUAGUCACCCGCUCUCCUGUGAGCAGUCACCCCCAAUAGCCCUAAAGGGAGGACACACGCUGGGAAGAGACGGGCUCAGGUGGUCCCCAUCUGAGCUUGGAGUGAUGUUCUGGAGUCCCCGUUGCUCCAAUUUAGCCCUGAUGCACAGUGAUACUGACUGCCGGUCCUUGGAAACCACCUGUCAAUCACCAGGGCCAUGACUUGCUAAGGGAAUAUGAAAGACUGUAAGAAGUUUUGGCAUUUCUUGUUCGGGUGGAUUUUCCUUAAGGAAAAGUCUCAUGAAAAGAAGAAUCCUCAACAUUUCUGCUGUAGAACCACAGCAACUCUAUUCAUUAGCUCUCUUGAGUGCUAUUAGGUUUUUUUUUUCUUUUGUUCACUAGUUUCACAAAGAUUCUACCUUACCAUCAAAAAGAAUGUUUUAAAAACCAAAUUUUAUCCCACUCCCUCGCAGUGAGUUAUGGGCUCAUGGGGAAAGGAUCCCCCACUUUUGACUGUUCUAAGAAAGAGCAAGAAAUACUCUGGGAUUACGCAUUUGAAAAAAUACUCCUGGAACUUCCCUGGUGGUCCAGUGGGUAAGACUCUGCACUCCCAAUGCAGGGGGCCCGGGUUCGAUCCCUGGUCGGGGAGCUAGAUCCUGCAUGCAUGCCUCAACUAAGAGUUCGCAUGCCGCAACUAAGACCCAGUGCAGCCAAAAUAAAUAGAUAUUUAAAAAAACACUCAAAGAAAUACAUUUUUCAAUCAUUUUAAAAUAACAUUUUUUCUCAUUACAAAAGUACUACAUAUUCACCCUGGAAAGUUUGGAAGAUGCUGAGAAUUAAAAUGAAAAUGUAAAUUAUCUAUAAAUUUAUAACCACCUAUUAAUACCUGUUAACAUUUUGCCUUUUAAAAAGUGAUUUAACCAGUACUAAAGGAUAAUGUAAUCAUAGCUGAACUACUAAUAAAUUGGAGAACUAUGUAAUAAGAAAUCUAUAGGUGAUAAUUGUUGAAGCUAGGUGAUGGGUACGUGAGUGCUUAUUAUACCAUUCUAUUUUUAUAUAGAAAUUUUCCAUAAUCCAAAAAUAAAAAAGAGGUAUCUAUUUGAAAACUCCCAAAUUUUUCUGUAUGGCCAAAUUUUUAACUGAAAUGAAUUAAAAACAUAGGAGUCAAUAUUUAUUUCAAUAUAAAAGGUAACUUGCAUUUAUCCUAGUUAAAACUAAGUCUAUGUGAGGAUACUGAGCAAACGAAUUUUCAACUUCUGAUUGCUAAUAUAAUUGUUUAUUUGGUGAAAAGAUAAUUGGAAAAUCAGAAAGCAAUAUAGACAUCAUAACAUGUACACAGGAAAAAUACCAGGUGUUGCAAUCCCAUGAUCCCUAAGAGAAGAAACUCCCUGUGUCAGCCAGCUGCUGAGGUGCGGAUCCUCGGAAGGUCCGUUUUAGUUCAUCCCCUAGUGCUGAAGGCAGCUGCUAGCAAGAGCUGAAGGUGACAUAGAGUUGUGUGCUUUGAAGUCAGCAAGACCUGAAUUUGAAUCCUGCCUCCCCUCCUCCUACUGGUGUGAGCGCGUUACUUAACUUCUCUGAGGUGAAAUAGAGGUACUGUAGAUAGAGAUACUAAAACCCACCUCACUGAUUUGUUUAAGAUUCACCUGAGAUCAUUUAUAAGUGAAAGGUGGUAUAACGUAAUGGUUAAGCCUGUAGCUUCAGGAGAUAGACUGCCUGGGUUCAGUUCUUGGCUCUAGUACUUGCUUUAGCUGUGUGACCUGGGCAAAUCACUUAACCUCUCUGGGCUUCAGUUUUCUCACCUGUAAAUGGAAGAUGAUAAUAAUAGUUCUUACCUCCUACGUCCAUUGGUUGUGAAAGUUAAACAAAUUACACACAGAAAGCAUUUAGAACAGUGCUGGGCACACGGUCAAUGCUAUUACAUGUGCUUCCGUCUUCAUAUUAUUUUUUUAUUGAGAUAAAAUUUACAUGCCAUAAAAUUCACUACUUUAAAGUGUACAAUUUAAUGGGGUUUUUGUAUGUUCACGAGAAUGUGCGUCACCAUUAUCUAAUUUUAGAACGUUUUCAUUACCUCCAAAAGAAACGUGUACCUGUUAGCAGUCACUUCCUAUUCACUCUUUUCCUGGGCUCCUGACAACCAUCAGUCUAUUUUCUGUCUCUGUGGAUUUGCCUAUU